AUGGAGGUGGGGGUUGAUGUUCUCGAUGCUAUUUAUCAGAACGCUACUACCAUGGAUGAGGAUACCAUGGAUGAGGAUGAAGAAUCCGUGGCAGCCGUCCACUUCCUUCUUUUACUCUUUGGUGAAGCGCCGCGGUCUGAAGUUUUCAAGACAAUCAUCUUUAGCACCAUCACAAAAAAAGUUAAGCAGUGUCAGCCAAUCGAUCUUGUCUAUGACUCGCUUGCUAAAAAUUGGAAUAAGUUGUGCAAAUGUGCCUGCUAUCUAUGGCUGAUGGUUCUAGAGGCUCUCAUGGAAACAAACUUAAGGGUUGAGAGACCAAAUGUAAUAAAACCGGCUGAACCUCAUCACAUUUUGGUUGAUUUGUUUAAAGAAAUGACAAUACACAAACGAAAGGCCCAACACAAGUGUAGCUCAAUUGCAAUGGAUAACAAUCUCCACGAAAGGCCCCCUCAUACUAAACAUUUUUAUCUUUGUUCUUAA
rnacentral:rRNA from 1 species